rnacentral:rRNA from 1 species
UUUAAAUGUAAAAUAAAUAUACUAAAGUAGUAUUAGUUAUGUUCUUGAAAUUUAAAGAUUUUGGCGGUAUUUUAGUCUAUUUAGAGGAGCCUGUUCUAUAAUUGAUAAUCCACGAUUAAUUUUACUUAAUUUAUAUAAAUUUGUAUACCGUCGUUAUAAGAAGAUUUUAAAAGAAUAUAAAUUUUUAAUAUUUUAUAUAAAAAAAUAUAUCAGAUCAAGGUGCAGUUUAUAAUUAAGAAGAAAUGGGCUACAAUAAAUUUAUUUAUACGGAUUAAAGUGAGUAUGUGACUUUAUGAAGGUGGAUUUAAUAGUAAUAAGAUUAAUUUAAAUUUUAUGAUUUUAGCUCUAAAAUAUG